rnacentral:rRNA from 1 species
AGUGAACGCUGGCGGCGUGCUUAACACAUGCAAGUCGAACGAGAACGGGUUGUAGCUUGCUAUAAUUGUCAGCUAAGUGGCGCACGGGUGAGUAAUGUAUAGGUAAUAUGCCUCUUACUAAGGGAUAACAAAUGGAAACGUUUGCUAAUACCUUAUACUCCUUAUUAACAGAAGUUAAUAAGGGAAAGAUUUAUUGGUAAGAGAUUAGCCUGUAUUGUAUCAGUUAGUUGGUGGGGUAAUGGCCUACCAAGACUAUGACACAUAACUGGUUUGAGAGGAUGAUCAGUCACACUGGAACUGAGACACGGUCCAGACUCCUACGGGAGGCAGCAGUGGGGAAUAUUGCACAAUGGACGAAAGUCUGAUGCAGCAACGCCGCGUGGAGGAUGACACAUUUCGGUGCGUAAACUCCUUUUAUAUGAGAAGAUAAUGACGGUAUUAUAUGAAUAAGCACCGGCUAACUCCGUGCCAGCAGCCGCCGUAAUAC